UAUUGUGUACCGCUCCGGUUGUUAGAGCGUCCGCCUCAGAUGCGGGAGGUCGUGGGUUCGAUCCCCAGUCGAGUAA